UACGUAGGGUGCAAGCGUUAAUCGGAAUUACUGGGCGUAAAGCGUGCGCAGGCGGUCCGCUAAGACAGAUGUGAAAUCCCCGGGCUUAACCUGGGAACUGCGUUUGAAACUACAAGGCUAGAGUGUGGCAGAGGGGGGUGGAAUUCCACGUGUAGCAGUGAAAUGCGUAGAGAUGUGGAGGAACACCGAUGGCGAAGGCAGCCCCCUGGGUUAACACUGACGCUCAGGCACGAAAGCGUGGGGAGCAAACAGG
rnacentral:rRNA from 1 species